UACAUGGGGUGCAAACGUUGCUCGGAAUUACUGGGCGUAAAGCGCACGUAGGCGGCUUUGUAAGUUAGAGGUGAAAGCCCGGGGCUCAACUCCGGAAUUGCCUUUAAGACUGCAUCGCUAGAAUUGUGGAGAGGUAAGUGGAAUUCCGAGUGUAGAGGUGAAAUUCGUAGAUAUUCGGAAGAACACCAGUGGCGAAGGCGACUUACUGGACACAUAUUGACGCUGAGGUGCGAAAGCGUGGGGAGCAAACAGG
rnacentral:rRNA from 1 species